rnacentral:tRNA from 1 species
GGACAGGUAGCUCAGGCAGUAGAGCAGCGGACUGAAAAUCCGCGUGUCGUGGGUGCGACUCCCACCCUGUCCA